GGGGACGUAGUAUAACCCGGCAUUAUGGGGGCCUCCAGAGCCUCGGAUCAGGGUUCAAAUCCCUGCGUCCCCA
rnacentral:tRNA from 1 species